UAGCCUUUUGACUAGCCACAAUCCUGAC
rnacentral:piRNA from 1 species